rnacentral:rRNA from 1 species
GACGAACGCUGGCGGCGUGCCUAAUACAUGCAAGUAGAACGCUGAAGCUUGGUGCUUGCACCGAGCGGAUGAGUUGCGAACGGGUGAGUAACGCGUAGGUAACCUGCCUGGUAGCGGGGGAUAACUAUUGGAAACGAUAGCUAAUACCGCAUAAGAGUAGAUGUUGCAUGACAUUUGCUUAAAAGGUGCAAUUGCAUCACUACCAGAUGGACCUGCGUUGUAUUAGCUAGUUGGUGAGGUAACGGCUCACCAAGGCAACGAUACAUAGCCGACCUGAGAGGGUGAUCGGCCACACUGGGACUGAGACACGGCCCAGACUCCUACGGGAGGCAGCAGUAGGGAAUCUUCGGCAAUAGACGGAAGUCUGACCGAGCAACGCCGCGUGAGUGAAGAGGGUUUUCGGAUCGUAAAGCUCUGUUGUAAGAGAAGAACGAGUGUGAGAGUGGAAAGUUCACACUGUGACGGUAUCUUACCAGAAAGGGACGGCUAACUACGUG